GGUACUUAACAAGUGUCUCAGGGGUGCCAGAACCCUCUCGCCCAUGGAGCUGGUGCCUCAGUCGGGGGAGACAACCACACACCCAAACGUCCAAGUUGUUCCACGUUCCAGGCUGGAUGCUUGUUGGCUGCCAGGAGCUUCCCACCCAUCAUCCUUCCAGGAUGAAGUUGAAGGUAGAGGUGGCAAUUGCAACCUACAGCACCAGUCACGGAUACGUCUCCUCUGCUGGUUUGCCGUUCGCCUUCUCCGUGGCACUGGGAGAAAGCAGCUUUUUGCAAACAUCGGUGACGAAGGUUUGAAGUCUCAGGAAUCUGCAUAUCUGCUGGCCCCACCUCCUGCACCCCUGUGUGUGCACAUGCAAGUCUGUUCCAGGCUCCGGUGCUGCAUGCGCUCUGUAUGAUGCUGUGGGACAUCGGCAGGGUUUUCGAGCUUCCAGCAAGUCCACCUUGGCUGACGCAGGACAGGGUACCAGUGUCAUGGCUCCGUUGUGGCCAAUUCGAUGGACCACAGAAAAGCCCUUUACCCUUUCUGAGCCCCAAAGCAGGUAGAAGCAGUCCUCUGGAAACGCAGUGGCAACCUGCUGUGAUGCCUGUAAGCCGGUGCCUGCUGGGGCUCAGCUCAUGGUCACCGUGACCACUUUCCUGACAUUCUCUAUCGUUGCCCUCCUCUUCAGCGCCCUGCUCAUAUCUGGUCCACUCAACCUCCCUCUCCCUGGGCCCUGCGUGAGAUUUGCAUACAGGUGCCCCUGCCUGGUGCAGCUGAAGGGGUGGGGAUGGGGCGAGCAGCCCAUGCUAGGAGGGCCAGCAGCACAGAACACAUGUGGUGGGAAAAUGGCUACUCGGAAUGUGGGUUUUAUUUCCCUGCCACCUCCUCAGAGCUGCCUCCUGACUCCUGUGCCAGUUGGGAGAGGUGGGCUCUGGUAUUUGGAGCCCUUUGGUAUUAGCUCCCCCUGGAGCCUUGUCACCUUUAGUCACUGUCCAAGCCUCAGUUCCUGGUCUAUAAUUGGGGGGAUGGAGGCAUGGGGAACAGCCUACAAGAGCUUGUGUAAGGAGGAACCCAGGCCCUGCACCUGCUGGAGAUGGACUGCCCAGGCCCCUGGAGGACCCCUCCACCCAGGCUGCACUUGCACAAAGGCCUCCUGUGAAGACUUCCAAGGCUCCCUCCAGACGGGUGGUGCUCAACUAGGCAGGACUGCGAGCCUCGACAGGGCCACCCACAAACCCUGAUGUCACUGUGUGUCUGAAAUGUUUUUAUAAAUCCAGCAAUUAUCUGGUGAGUAGUCCAACUCUAAAAUAGGUUGAAUUUUAAAAUGUAAAUGUUGGACAUGCACCCCGGUUUUUGCGAUACCACUCUGGAAUUCUUUGCCUUCUGACAGCCUGGGAGCCUCAUGGAUCAGAGGUGUCUCACUCUCCUGAUUUUCUCAGGUCCUGGUUACCCACCUUGGUGAAGGUCGGGGAAGGUUCUGGCUCAUAGCACCUGCUUCCCAGUCACCUCUGGGUCCUCUUCCGUCAGCCUCUUCCGAAUCUCCCACCCCAGCCUGUGCU
rnacentral:lncRNA from 1 species